CCUACGAGAGGCAGCAGUGAGGAAUAUUGGUCAAUGGUCGAGAGACUGAACCAGCCAAGUCGCGUGAGGGAUGACGGCACUGUGUAUUGUAAACCUCUUUUGUCAGGGAAUAAAACGAGGCACGUGUGCCUUUUUGAAUGUACUUUAUGAAUAAGCACCGGCUAAUUCCGUGCCAGCAGCCGCGGUAAUACGGAGGGUGCGGGCGUUAUCCGGAUUUAUUGGGUUUAAAGGGUGCGUAGGCCGUUCUUUAAGUGAGCCGUGAAAUGUCGGGGCUCAACCACGGUAGUGCGUAUGAAACUGGAGAUCUUGAGUGUGCGGAAGGUAGGCGGAAUGCGUGGUGUAGCGGUGAAAUGCUUAGAUAUCACGAAGAACUCCGAUUGCGAAGGCAGCAUGCCGCAGCCUCACUGACGCUGAGGCUCGAAAGCGCGGGUAUCGAACAGGAUUAGAUACCCGAGUAGUC
rnacentral:rRNA from 1 species